AGAUGUGAGGGUGAUCUGGCUGCGACAUCAGUCACCCCACUGAUCGCCAGGGUUGAUACAGCUGACCUGGCUGGCUAGGUGGGUGUCCCCUUCCUCCCUCACCGCUCCAUGUGCGUCCCUCCCAAAACUGCGCGCUCGGUCAAUAGGAUGGGCUUCCCCAAAUAGAGACGGCCCAGUCUUAGGUCAAGGGUAUACCAGUAGAUGCGCUCCCUGCUAGAACCUCCAAACCAGCUCUUACUCCCCUGUACCAGCUGAGCAGUGCUCUGCCUUGCCCCCUACCCUCUCUGAUUCUUUUUUUUC
rfam:Erinaceus europaeus unplaced genomic scaffold scaffold00039, whole genome shotgun sequence